rnacentral:rRNA from 1 species
AUGAACUCUUCCGCAUACUCCCAGGAGCUCGGGUCCCUACCAAUGGCGCACGCAUUGACGACCACACGCGUCCCAGCAGGAACUAUGUAUCCAUCGAUGGUGCAGUCAGCCAUGGCAAGGUGCGGAGCAAGGAGAGGAGCAAGACGAUGUAGCCGGAGCGACUCUUUUAUGGCUGCUCUUAGGUACGUCAUGUUGUUCAUGUCGGUUUCACUAAUAAUUUCUCGUCCUCGGGGUGCAAUACCCCUCACUUCAUCUUGUAGCUUCACCAUAAGUUGUGGCUUCCUCAUGAGCUCAGCCAAGGUAAAUUCGAGAGCAUUAGCUGAUCUGUCUAUCGCACCAAAAAAUACAUCCUGCGUAUAUCAAUUAAUUAGAACAAUGAAAGAUGUAUACACAUCAACAUGUUUAGUUUGA